CGGCAACAGCUCAAAUUUGAAAUCUGGCCUCGGCCCGAGUUGUAAUUUGCAGAGGAUGCUUCGGGCGCGGUGCCUUCCGAGUCCCCUGGAACGGGGCGCCAGAGAGGGUGAGAGCCCCGUAUGGUUGGACACCAAGCCUGUGUGAAGCUCCUUCGAC
rnacentral:rRNA from 1 species